CUCCGCAUGGGGGAUCCAGCGAGACAGCGAACGGGGAGUGGGAAGGCGCAGGCGCAGCUGGCGCCUCCCUUCCUGUUACCCUCCGCAGUCCCAGGGUGGGCGCGGCCGGGACGGGGACGGAGGUCCCAGGUGGCACCCCAUUCAGUUUUCCCGCUCCGCGGCUGUGCCGCGAGCCGCUUACAGGCCUGUUGCCAUGGGAACUCUGACUCCCCUCACCCGCCACGCCGCGCGGGCGCCCACCCAGUGGUCCUUAGGAGCGCGCGCCAGCAAUGGCAGCAGCUCUGGUAGGGGCCGCGCCCUCUGCGACCCGCUGCCCAGCCCGUUCGUCGCCGCCGGCCGGGCUCUGAGCCCCAGUACGGCCCCCAACGGCCCCCAGCGCCCGCCGGGCCGCCGGCCCAAGGAGCGCGGGCCGCAACCUUCAGGGCCGCCUGGGCGGCCGACUCGAUAGCUCCUCGUCAGAGGGCGACGCGCGACAAGGCGGUGGGAACCCAACUGUACAGGAAGGGCUCCAGAAAGUACAAGACUGUAACUGACAAAGACAAGGGGGUGAGCAGGAAGUGGCUUCUCAAGGUAAUGGCUCACCUGGUAUUGUGAACAUCGUCCCCUGGAAAAAGUGGCUAAGAGCGAGGGCCUUCUGAUGAACUGGUGGUGCUUCUGAGGUAACUGCAUCUUGUGAUGACUGAAAGGGACACACUGCAGGCUGGCCUCUGCUGGGAGUGCUUUUAAGGACAGUCAGCACUCAGGAUAAAUCCUGGUUCCAGCAGCUCAGGCCCUUCCUGGUGGCCCAGCAUCCAGGAGAGUGAUUUUUCCAGGAAAGAAAAGUCUGGUGGGUAUCUGCUUUCCCUGCAGUGAGAAAGAAAAGUGCCAGGGCCCAGCAUUAACCCAGGGCCGGGAGGAGGGCACCCAGGGCAGAGGGGUGUCGCCUGCUGGGCUGCGGCUCCUGACAGCAGACCCAACCUCUGGGAAUAGUAAGUCUUGUGCCCACCCAAUGUCAGGAAGUGACAGUUAGUUGCAUCUUUGGGUGUUCAUUGACUGAACAAGUUUCACCAUAAUGAGUCACUCCAAAGAG